rnacentral:lncRNA from 1 species
GAAGACCAAAUCUCAUAAAGCUUCACCAAACAAGAAAAGAUAAAAUAUACAGAUAUCCUACUUUUGUCACUCAAGAAGUGAAGACUUAUCAUUUUAUGUUUAUUUUCCUUUCGGAGAACUACAGUCCAUCUGGAAUUGAUUUUUGUGUAUUGUUGAGUACAUAGUUGCAUAUUUUAGUUGUUGGUCCUUCUAACUGUGGCAUGUGGGACUCUGCGUCAGCAUGGCCCGAUGAGCAGUGUCAUGUCUGCACCCAGGAUCCAACCCGGUGAAACCCUGGGCCGCCGAAGCGGAGCACGUGAACUUAACCACUCGGCCAUGGGGCCAGCCCCAGACUGUUUUCUAAAUAUCAUUUCGGAUCGUUUAUUGCUAAUGUAUGGAAAUAUAAUUGAUUUUUGUAUAUUGAUCUUGUAUACUUCAGUCUUUCCC